AACGAACGCUGGCGGCGCGCCUAAUACAUGCAAGUCGAGCGAGAAGACGUAGCAAUACGUUUGUAAAGCGGCGAACGGGUGAGGAAUACAUGGGUAACCUACCCUCGAGUGGGGAAUAACUAGCCGAAAGGUUAGCUAAUACCGCGUACGCUCCUUGGACUUCGGUUCAGGGAGGAAAGCGAUACCGUGGGUAUCGCGCUCUUGGAUGGGCUCAUGUCCUAUCAGCUUGUUGGGAGGUAACGGCUCACCAAGGCUUCGACGGGUAGCUGGUCUGAGAGGAUGACCAGCCACAUUGGGACUGAGACACGGCCCAGACUCCUACGGGAGGCAGCAGUGGGGAAUCUUGCGCAAUGGGCGAAAGCCUGACG
rnacentral:rRNA from 1 species